UACAGAGGGUGCAAGCGUUAAUCGGAAUUACUGGGCGUAAAGCGCGCGUGGGUGGUUUGUUAAGUUGGAUGUGAAAGCCCCGGGCUCAACCUGGGAACUGCAUUCAAAACUGACAAGCUAGAGUAUGGUAGAGGGUGGUGGAAUUUCCUGUGUAGCGGUGAAAUGCGUAGAUAUAGGAAGGAACACCAGUGGCGAAGGCGACCACCUGGACUGAUACUGACACUGAGGUGCGAAAGCGUGGGGAGCAAACAGG
rnacentral:rRNA from 1 species